UUCUCAGCUAAAGUUAGCGCUGAUAAUACUCACACAGACACACACAGACACACACACACACACACACACACACACACACACACACACACACACACACACACAGUGGUGUAAAGUUACACAUGACUGCUUUAUUUAUAGCAGUGUGUGAAAGGCUUCGGAUGGCUGGGCACUGAGAGAAGAACACUGAUCGUGAACUGUUUCACUUUUUCAUGUAGAAAAGAAAAUCCAGGCAAAUCCAGCAGCCGUGAUGCAGUGAGGAGUUUAGCUCAGGAAGGAGAACCGCACAUACUCUUUCACGUUAGCGUAAAGAUCGUUCUGUCUGCGUUGCCCCCUCUGGCUGCUAUGGGGAACUACAGCUCUACAGAGAUUGAAGUUUUUAAAGGCAUUGUAUCAGCAGCGGGGAGCGAAACACACACACUGCAGAACCAAGCCUCAAUUAAUCAUCAUGAAGUGUGGGAUCGUCUGACUGAAACGCUGCAGGAACCCGAUCUGUUCUCCCUCAAGUUCCUCCACAACAUCACAGAGACGACCGGAGAACCUUCAGAACCUAAAACAGAUGCUCCUCCAGAACCAGAAGUCUCUCCAUCUCCAGAAGUUUCCUCUGCAUCCUCUAACUCCUCCUCCCCGACCGUCUCCUCCCUCAUUUCUGCACUCAGAUCCUCAGAUUCCUCCUCGUCACGUCCUAAACCCCAUCUCGUUGCUCACGGCCCUCCGACUUUACAGAAACUAAAUGUGGAGCUUCAUGACAUGAGAGAGGAGCUGGAGCUGCUGAAGACUCAGCACAAGUACGCAAGUGUGUGUGUGUAAGUGUGUGUGUGUGUGUGUGUGUGUGUGUGUGUGUGUGUGUGUGCUACAAUAAUGUAUUUCGACCAGAGAAGUCUACAAGUCCCCCAGAAUUUGCAUACAGCCGCUUUAAAACACUAAAAAUCAAAGUGAAAAUGAAUAUUUAUCUGUGUCAUAGGAGAGAAAUUAAACUGCUAAUGAGCGAGCUAGAUGAAGAGAAGAAAAUGCGCCUUUCGCUGCAGGUCGAGGUGGAGCGUCUUAAGAGGCGCAUGUCCAAAUAAGACAUGGGCACGUCAUGUUGUAAAGACGUUUCCAUGAUAACUGUGGUUAUUAAACACACUCCCAGGAUGAAACGUUUUGGUGUUUAAGAGAAGGACACAACGUGCUUUGAGAAAAAUAGUUCUUCAUCUCCCACGACUUUGUGUUCCUCUGGGAACACAAAGACGUUGUGUGGAUCCUCGGAUGACACGUGAUGUGUUCCAUUUGUACUAACCUCUGAGUUCACUACCUAGUACACUAUUUACACCUGAAGUAAACACACCCCUUGGUACUGCACUCAGCACACAUGGAUCUUACUGUAUGUGUAUAUCUUAUUCAUUUUUCUCCUACAACACACUGUGACUUAAAAAUGGUUGUCUUCCACUUCCUGUUCAUGUUAACCCUCACACAACAUAUCACUAUACUGAAGACAUCUUUAGGAUAACUCAUUCAUUAAACACAACAUCCACUCCAUUACUCAUUACAGGGAGUAAAUAUGGAGUUAGAAAAAACACCUGAACCCACAAUACUGAGAAAAGUGUAUGAUGAUGUCCAGCUGUCUGUGCUUCCUGUUCUCUCUCUCUCUCUCUCUCUCUCUCUCUCUCUCUCUCUCUCUCUCUCUCUCUGAUGUGAGAAAUGAAGCUUCAUUAAACUCUGGCGCCAUCUUCUGGGAGAUUGCUGUAACUGCUUUAAGGAAAACUGUAACAGUUAAUUGUGUGUGAUUUUUAUUUAAUGCUCAUCUGUAAUGUCCUGAAAUAAACCAGUAUGAAUUCUUCUACACUGCAGUCCUUCUCACAUAUUCCAAUGUGUUUAAAUAAAGUGUGUGUUACUUUACAAUCAUCAGCACAUCUCUGAACUCCUUUGUGUGGCUCUAGAUCCAUCUGCAUGCCUCUAGAACCCUAAACACAUCUCUAGAACCCUAGAGUUCUCACCACUUCUCUAGAACUCUCAACGCAUGUUCAGAACCCUCGGCAUUCUGCAUAACUUGUCACUAGACCACACACAUGGCUCUAAAACUCUUGUUGCUCUUCUAUAACCCUCAGCAUAUCUAUAGCGUCAUCAAUGCAUCUCUAGAGGCCCUAUUG
ensembl:lncRNA